AACGCACCUUGCGCCCCUUGGCAUUCCGAGGGGCACACCCGUUUGAGUGUCGUGAAAUCUUCAAAACCCUCUUCUUUGAUCCAUUUUGGUCGGGAAAAGGAUUUUUGGACUUGGAGGUUCAAUGCUCGCACUUUCUUUUGAAAGCGAGCUCCUCUCAAAUGAAUCAGUGGGGUCCGCUUUGCUGAUCCUUGACGUGAUAAGAUGUUUCUACGUUUUGGGUUUAGCACUGUCCCUUGGACACCUGCUCCUAACCGUCUCACGGACAAUGAUGGUGCUCUGGUCACCGCCGUUUACAUCGGUGGGAGGCUGGACCCACAAAAAGAAAACCUUGACCUCAAAUCGGGUGAGACUACCCGCUGAACUUAA
rnacentral:misc_RNA from 1 species